rfam:Danio rerio chromosome 21, GRCz11 reference primary assembly.
GGGGAUGUAGCUCAGUGGUAGAGCGCAUGCUUUGCAUGUAUGAGGUCCUGGGUUCAAUCCCCAAUCGUCACCG